CGCAUCUGUGCAUGCAGCAUAUCAAUAAGCGGAGGAAAAGAAACUAACAAGGAUUCCCCUAGUAACGGCGAGUGAAGCGGGAAGAGCUCAAAUUUGAAAUCUUAAAGGGUUUCCCUUUACGAAUUGUAGUUUAAAGAAGUGUUUUCUGUUGAGGUUUUGGUAAAAGUUCUUUGGAAUAGGACAUCAUAGAGGGUGAGAAUCCCGUAUUUGACCUUUACUUUCAACUUUGUGAUACACUUUCAAAGAGUCGGAUUGUUUGGGAAUGCAGUCCAAAAUGGGUGGUAAAUUUCAUCUAAAGCUAAAUAUUGGCGAGAGACCGAUAGCGAACAAGUACCGUGAGGGAAAGAUGAAAAGAACUUUGAAAAGAGAGUUAAACAGUACGUGAAAUUGUCAAAAGGGAAGCGCUUGACACCAGUGUUGUUUUUCUGAAAAUCAAUUAAAGAACUGUUUAUGCUAAGUUGUUUAGACUUUAUCAGCUAUCUGUUUAGUUUUGAGCUUUUCUUUAAUGCACUUUUCAGUUAACAAGUCAACAUCAAUUUCUUUUGCUGUAAAAAAGCUUGAGGAAGGUGGCUUGAGAUUCGUCUUAAGUGUUUAUAGCCUCUUGCCUAUGCAGUCGGAGAGAUUGAGGUCUGCAGCGUAGAUCCUUCGGGGCUAAAUGCAUUUGUGCUAAGUUAUAGCAUUUUAUAGACAACUUGUUGACUAUGAUUUGUCUUGUAGCUUACUCGCUUAUGUUAUUUUACCUACGCUUAGGAUGUUGAGCGCAUGUCUCUCUCU
rnacentral:rRNA from 1 species